rnacentral:tmRNA from 1 species
GGGGGCGUAACGGUUUCGACGGGAAUUCGUAUCCCGGAAGAGGCAUGUCGAGGUCCACGCCUCGUAAAAAUGUGGAAAAAAUCAUAAUCGCCAACGAUUUUGAUUACGCUUUAGCCGCUUAAUUUAAGCCGGCUACGUUCUUUGUGUAGCCCUCCCGAGGCGCCGCAAAGGAUGUUAUACAAAUUCGGGAUGGUUCCCUGUCAGGCAACUUGGCAGGGGGCGAGAUUUUAGUUGCUGGCAUUUGAGACGACCUGUCUUUAGGCACGAUGAAUGCGAGAAAACAAUUAAAGACUAAGCAUGUAGUCUCUCCGUGAGAAGGUUUUCGGACAGGGGUUCGACUCCCCUCGCCUCCACCA